CCCGGAAAUCAGCAUCGGAUCUGCAAAUAAAUCAGAUGAAUUAUUACUCACAAUCCCAACUGUAAAGAAAAGAUCAGAAAUUAACCAACUCUCUGCACAGAUAACAGUUGCACAGUAAAUCCCUUUGCCUGUUUAUCAGGAUCAUUUAUAACUAAAUUAGGGCAUAAGAGAUGCAUACCAAACUAACUACUCAUCCACAAUUGAACUUUUAAAUACUAUUUCAAUACUUCUGAUGGUUAUUAGUGAAAUUUAACUCCUAAAUGUAAUCUACACCCAAGUCAUAAGAGGGAUUAUCCAUGAGAUAAUCUGCACUCUUCAACAAUGCCAGAUUCAUCUUUGCAAAUCUAUCCAUACAAGCCUCCACUUCUUGCUAGAAAGAACAGAAGGCCGUGAUCAAGUUGGUCCAAAAUGAGGCCCCAGAAACAGCUAUUUAUACACAAUCCUAACCUUCAGCAAUUCUCCCAUCCAGUUUCUGCUCUUCAAUCGUCAUGUACAACAAUAACCUGAGAUAUUUCCCAACUUUCAUAUAGAUUAGACCACCAUAUUUUCUUCGAUAAUUUAUUUAUCCCCCCAACAUGAGAUUUUAAUUUGAACGAACAGCCUUAACAUUCGAAAAGUACCUUAAUAAAACCUCAUCCCAUUCUUGAAGGCUAGGAUAAGUAGGUUUGCGAGUCAGCAGCGGAGUGAUUAUCACAAACUUGAUUGACCAAGAGGGUGGCUUUGAUAUAACAAUAAAGUUAUUAAAUUUUGGAAAGAGUACUAUGCAAAUUACAUUUUAAUUCAUUUUAAUAUGAACUUAAAUAAGUGAUUGAAUUACUUUACACUUCAUAAUGACUAUUCGACUAGCCACUUUAAUGUUGCAAUGCAACCAUUUAUAUUUUAUCCUUUCAUUUUAUAAAUUUCCCAUGUGGAUUCCAAACAAGCCAACACUCUCCCAUCAAGUGCAAUCACAUAGUUUCACUUGACAAUUAGUAUUUAAUAUUAAGUAUUAACCCAAUGUGACCCAAUUAUACAGCUUUAUGAGCGACUGAAACUCAACUCACAACUCAAACCGGGCUCUAAUAACAUGUAAAAUUUUGGAGAGAGUAUUAGGCAAACUACAUUUUAAUUCAUUUUAAUAUGAACUUAAAUAAGUGAUUGAAUUACUUUACACUUCAUAAUGACUAUUCGACUAGCCACUUUAAUGUUGCAAUGCAACCAUUUAUAUUUUAUCCUUUCAUUUUAUAAAUUUCCCAUGUGGAUUCCAAACAAGCCAACACUCUCCCAUCAAGUGCAAUCACAUAGUUUCACUUGACAAUUAGUAUUUAAUAUUAAGUAUUAACCCAAUGUGACCCAAUUAUACAGCUUUAUGAGCGACUGAAACUCAACUCACAACUCAAACCGGGCUCUAAUAACAUGUAAAAUUUUGGAGAGAGUAUUAGGCAAAC
rnacentral:misc_RNA from 1 species